CUUGCUCUUUGCUUUUAAUCUGCACUGAGUCAAACGAAGGAAGUGGGAGUUCCGUUAGCACGCUCAGGGCCCACACGCCAAACAAAAUUCCCUCCUCUUGGGGUCGCUAGUCCUAGAGGCACAGGAGACGGUGAGGGCAAAGGUCGGGCACAGGCGCUACCGGGUUGUUCCCCAGGCCACCUACGAGGUCCUGCACCCCUCUCUGCGGCUACUUUGGUGCUUGACUGUGCUUGUUUCCACUCAGAAGCUUUAUAUAUUUUUAAAGAAAUGAAAAGGCUCUGGAGACCAUCUCUUCCUCCCCCUACACUCUGUGGAUUGUCCACCAGGCUCCCACAAGUGCCAUCUCUAAACCUGCAGCCGGGCUGAGGGCUAGGCAGAGGGCAAGGACGUUUGGUCCUUUUGGUGCAGAAAGGCCACGCGAGACGAAACUUCUCAGGCCAUUUUGCCCUUAGAAUGCCCCAGACCCCUGUCUCACACUUCCCACUUUUAUUUCUACUUCGAAGGAAUUUUUCUCAAUUAGAACUCACUCAGGCGCCACGAGGGAAGGAAAGCCCUUUAUGAAAAGUCAGGGAUUUUCAUUUGCAAACGAAAAGAUCCAGGUUGUUUCUCUUUCACCCAACAUUGCAAAGUUUUUUGGUGGGUAUUUGGGGGGAGGUGGUUUGAACGGGAGAUUUUGUGGUUUUGAAUGCCAGAUAGGGCAGAAGUGCUUAAUUCCCUGCCUUUAUGUUUUACAGAAGAAGUUCACCGGUGGGGUGGGGUGGAGGGGAAAGGGGGGGGCCGAGAAAAUUUAGGACUCCUCUCUCCACCGCCAUUUGUUGUCUGAGAAUCCUAGAGGGAGAGAGGAACAGUAGUGCGAUCCCCGCUUCAAUCCUGGGGUGCCUCCUCACCCCGAUUUAGUAGUCCGAAGGAGUGGGAGGAGUUCCCUGCAACCCGCGGGGUCAAGAAGUAAGUGCUGUGCGUCCGGAGCUGCUCGAAGUCGGAGGGCCUCACCCCAGAGGGCCUCACUCGAAUGCCCCCUGCCCAUCCCCACGCCCGGAAGCCCUGGAGCGCCUGAGCCACCUCGGGGGAACCAGCCAACUGAGGUCCCACUUCCUCCGUUGGGUAACGUUCUCUGCGGGAGCUCGGCGGUUAACCGGGCAGCCGCGCCCGCUACGCUGGCCUCGGCACCCUGAGCCUGCCGGAGGGAGAGACAGACAGUCUGGCCGGGAGGAAGGUCCACUCUGUAGCCCGCCCCCGCAUGUAGGCGCUGUCCUGCACCUCCGGAGCUCGAGGCCCAAGGAAAUGAGGGCUGCGUAGACCUGGCCGCGCACUUCUCUCAUCCACGUUCCCACUGAACGUCAGCGCUGAGACCUGUGGCACAGAGGAGCUGGUCUGAAUCACCGUUUGGCAGAGAUGGAAGUUCAACUCCCCGUCUACAGAGAAGUAAACUGAGGCCCAGGCAGCGGAGGAAAGGCAGCUGUGGAGCUCAGUGGUUAAGAGCAAGGAACUGGUGGUCGGAGAACGGAACCUCAGGUCCACCAGGAUCUGUUUUAGAUAGUUUAGUGAACUCUCUCCAGCCUGGACUGCUGACCUGUGACCUCCCAUUAUUCAAACCAAGGCUGACACAUGUGGGCAUCUGGAGCUUCGUUCCCUCACUUCUCAGCCUCACCUCCUAAAAUAAAGAUGUUCCAUCAGGUUCUGACAAUGUGCCAGAUGGUCAAAACUCCAUUAGCCUGAGUCCCUGAAGCUUCAUUGCAAGACACCUUGCAGAAUAUUUCACAUACAUAUACAACCUAGAAGUAAGGUAAUGGCUCCUGGAAGGAACUUGUAACCAAUGGGUCAGCUGUUGAAUGCUACGCCUUUCUUCAUCUGAAGGACUGUCUUGGAAUGUGUUUAAUAUGGCUCUUCAGGCAGCUGGAUGGAUCGAACAGACACCCUCAAGAGAUCACCCAGUUCCAGAACUCCCAUGGGAUCAGUUGAGGCUUCUGCUGCACCUGCAUCACAAUUCAAUUUUCCUACUGCCCAAUCCUGCUUCCCUUGCUCCCUCACAGGUGCUGUUCCCAAUAACCCCCUGGAGGCAAACCUACAUUUCAGAGUCUAUUCUUCAAAAAUCCAGCCUAAGCUGCCAAAAGGUUUUUUUUUUUUUUUGCAACAUUUUAAAAAAGCAUUACCAAACAAUGAAAUACAUGCUAUUUUCAUCAUGCAAUAAAUAAUAAAACCUCUGUACUGAGAGUGUUCAGUCUAUUCUGUAUUCACUUUUUGGUAUGACUGCUCAGCCUGUAUUUCCUGCACAUGUUUCAUGUAUGCCUAACCCAUAAUCUCCCCAUUUCUCUCUGACUCAGCCCACUGAUGGUCUGGCAGGUGUACCAAGAGGCCAGUAGGAGCAGUAUCAUUGACUGUCUCUCCCACAGUCACUGGAGAUAGAAGGAACUAGCUGUCAUUACUGAUCCUAUCUGAGGACCACUUUGGUUUUUAUCGACAAGCACUCUGCACACUUUCCUUGAAAGGAAGGUGGGGGGAAAAAAAAGAAAGGAAGGAAGGUGGCAAUUGCUUUGCACCUUGAAAGGGUCCAAUAAAGAGAGGAGGAUUAGUCUCCAGAUGAAACCACGUGUUAAAGUGGGAAUCCCAUCCAUUACACAUCCAUUUCACAUACAGUGGAGAUCAUGACAGAAUCUGGAUGUCCAGAGUGGAGGUCUGUCAAAACCAUCCCAUCUUUUCAUUCCACCAUUAAUAAAACUAUCGCAUCAAAAAAUGAAACACCUGGUGCAAAUGCUGGAUGGGAGUUAGGAAAACAGGCAUAAACUCAGAGUGUCUGGGGUAAACCAACCUACGUGCUCAUCUUAAUUUAUACGUAUGUUACCUAAUUCAUAGGUAACAGAAUGCUGCUGAAUCUGUGUGCUCAAGAAUAUUAUUUCACACCCUAUAACCUUGAAUGGAUGCAGGACUGUCCUCUGGCAAUACCAAUAGAACCAAAAAAGCUCAGAAGAAAACUAAAAUUCUUUACUCUGUAAUAUACCCUUGGGAGAUGUCACAGAAGUUAGUGAUAACCCAUUAGCAUGGUCUUGAUAAAUAUUUUGUGGGUAGAGAUUUCUAUCGAUACAGGAUGUAAGAUAACCAAAGGCUUAAUGACGAAUAUCAACAAAUGCAAACUUCCAAGACUCAACAGCCAAUUUCCAGAGUUUCCACAAUUUGUACAUGUGAAAAUUUCUUCCAGUGCAGGUUGAGGGUGAUGGCAUCCAUGGCUAAUGUGGGCAGAAUCAGAGGGUUAGAGAUGUAAAACAGCCAUUUUAGACAAGGUAGAUUUCAUUGAACAGUUAAGUGUGCCUAGUUGAAUUCUAUUUGGAUUAGGAAAAAAGGAAAUAUUUCAAAGGGC